rnacentral:rRNA from 1 species
UGGCGGCGUGCCUAAUACAUGCAAGUCGAACGAGUUCUGAUUAUUGAAAGGUGCUUGCAUCUUGAUUUAAUUUUGAACGAGUGGCGGACGGGUGAGUAACACGUGGGUAACCUGCCCUUAAGUGGGGGAUAACAUUUGGAAACAGAUGCUAAUACCGCAUAAAUCCAAAAACCGCAUGGUUCUUGGCUGAAAGAUGGCGUAAGCUAUCGCUUUUGGAUGGACCCGCGGCGUAUUAGCUAGUUGGUGAGGUAACGGCUCACCAAGGCAAUGAUACGUAGCCGAACUGAGAGGUUGAUCGGCCACAUUGGGACUGAGACACGGCCCAAACUCCUACGGGAGGCAGCAGUAGGGAAUCUUCCACAAUGGACGCAAGUCUGAUGGAGCAACGCCGCGUGAGUGAAGAAGGCUUUCGGGUCGUAAAACUCUGUUGUUGGAGAAGAAUGGUCGGCAGAGUAACUGUUGUCGGCGUGACGGUAUCCAACCAGAAAGCCACGGCUAACUACGUGCCAGCAGCCGCGGUAAUACGUAGGUGGCAAGCGUUAUCCGGAUUUAUUGGGCGUAAAGCGAGCGCAGGCGGUUUUUUAAGUCUGAUGUGAAAGCCCUCGGCUUAACCGAGGAAGUGCAUCGGAAACUGGGAAACUUGAGUGCAGAAGAGGACAGUGGAACUCCAUGUGUAGCGGUGAAAUGCGUAGAUAUAUGGAAGAACACCAGUGGCGAAGGCGGCUGUCUGGUCUGUAACUGACGCUGAGGCUCGAAAGCAUGGGUAGCGAACAGGAUUAGAUACCCUGGUAGUCCAUGCCGUAAACGAUGAAUGCUAGGUGUUGGAGGGUUUCCGCCCUUCAGUGCCGCAGCUAACGCAUUAAGCAUUCCGCCUGGGGAGUACGACCGCAAGGUUGAAACUCAAAGGAAUUGACGGGGGCCCGCACAAGCGGUGGAGCAUGUGGUUUAAUUCGAAGCAACGCGAAGAACCUUACCAGGUCUUGACAUCUUUUGAUCACCUGAGAGAUCAGGUUUCCCCUUCGGGGGCAAAAUGACAGGUGGUGCAUGGUUGUCGUCAGCUCGUGUCGUGAGAUGUUGGGUUAAGUCCCGCAACGAGCGCAACCCUUAUGACUAGUUGCCAGCAUUUAGUUGGGCACUCUAGUAAGACUGCCGGUGACAAACCGGAGGAAGGUGGGGAUGACGUCAAAUCAUCAUGCCCCUUAUGACCUGGGCUACACACGUGUUACAAUGGAUGGUACAACGAGUUGCGAGACCGCGAGGUCAAGCUAAUCUCUUAAAGCCAUUCUCAGUUCGGACUGUAGGCUGCAACUCGCCUACACGAAGUCGGAAUCGCUAGUAAUCGCGGAUCAGCACGCCGCGGUGAAUACGUUCCCGGGCCUUGUACACACCGCCCGUCACACCAUGAGAGUUUGUAACACCCGAAGCCGGUGGCGUAACCCUUUUAGGGAGCGAGCCGUCUAAGGUGGGACAAAUGAUUAGGGUGAAGUCGUA